rnacentral:tRNA from 1 species
GCUAAUGUAGCUCAGUUGGUAGAGCAACUGAUUCGUAAUCAGUAGGUCGCCAGUUCAACUCUGGCCAUUAGCU